rnacentral:lncRNA from 1 species
ACCCAAGUUCUUUGUUUUGAGGGAUUGCAGCACCUUUGGGCUGAAAGAGUUUGUCCUAAUUCCCAGUGGAAUUAUUUUCAUCACGUGGACUUUGUGAUGGAAAUCUGAAGGUCCUAACACUUGUCCCUUAAUUGCAGACUUUAGAACCUGCUAACACAUUAUGAUCCUAUACUAGUCCUUUUGAGGCAUCAUGGUACAUACAAUGUAUUUGAUUUAUAUACGCACACAGGCCGCCAUGAUGCAGGAGCAUCCUGCGUUUGGCUAACCUCUUUUGCAAAGCCAUAUUCUUCAGGGAAACUACUUUAGCCUUCAAUUUUGCUUGUAUUUCCAUAGUGACAUUCUCCAAGAGAUCUAUGGCUCCUGUAGUCUUAUAUACAAAUUCUACCAAGGUGUGAAUCUCUUGAUAGGUUUCUGCCACCUCUACUGCUGGAAAAAGGCUCCUUCCCAUUUCCAGGCCUCCAGAGAAGACCCCCCGGUGACACGUGUGGCAUGACGAUGAACAGGAGAAUUGCCAAGCAACAUCCAGAAAAACCUGGGCAGGAACUCGCAAUCAAGCAAGAAAACAGAGAACUGAAAAUAGGAAUGGGCAGGCAUGGACUUUACAUGAAAGGACUGAUGCAGGAGAGAAACCACGUAAAUGCAUGUCACCUCAGUAGACAUCAAAGAACACAUGCAGGGGAAAUUAUCCAGAGGGCGAGCAACUGUGAGGUCAUUGGGAAGUCAGAGAUAACUGGUCGGGUCGUAAGAGGCAUAGAGUCCCAGAAGGAGUUCCGCGCUGAGGUAUCCAGAUUCGAACCCAGAGCCAUGCUGAGCCAAGCAGACAACGAGAAAGAUCAUCAGCCAGCUGAGUUCCU